GAUCAUGGCUCAGAACGAACGCUGGCGGCAGGCUUAACACAUGCAAGUCGAACGCCGUAGCAAUACGGAGUGGCAGACGGGUGAGUAACGCGUGGGAACAUACCUUUCGGUUCGGAAUAACUCAGGGAAACUUGUGCUAAUACCGGAUACGUCCGCAAGGAGAAAGAUUUAUCGCCGAAAGAUUGGCCCGCGUCUGAUUAGCUUGUUGGUGAGGUAAUGGCUCACCAAGGCGACGAUCAGUAGCUGGUCUGAGAGGAUGAUCAGCCACAUUGGGACUGAGACACGGCCCAAACUCCUACGGGAGGCAGCAGUGGGGAAUAUUGGACAAUGGGCGCAAGCCUGAUCCAGCCAUGCCGCGUGAGUGAUGAAGGCCUUAAGUGGGUUGUAAAGCUCUUUUACCUGGGAAAGUAUAAUGACGGGUACCAGGAGAAAUAAAGCCCCGGCUAA
rnacentral:rRNA from 1 species